GAUGAACGCUGGCGGCGUGCCUAAUACAUGCAAGUCGAGCGAAUGGAUUAAGAGCUUGCUCUUAUGAAGUUAGCGGCGGACGGGUGAGUAACACGUGGGUAACCUGCCCAUAAGACUGGGAUAACUCCGGGAAACCGGGGCUAAUACCGGAUAACAUUUUGAACCGCAUGGUUCGAAAUUGAAAGGCGGCUUCGGCUGUCACUUAUGGAUGGACCCGCGUCGCAUUAGCUAGUUGGUGAGGUAACGGCUCACCAAGGCAACGAUGCGUAGCCGCCCGGAGCGGGGGAUCGGCCACCAUGGGACUAGGACACGGCCCAGACUCCUACGGGAGGCAGCAGUAGGGAAUCUUCCGCAAUGGACGAAAGUCUGACGGAGCAACGCCGCGUGAGUGAUGAAGGCUUUCGGGUCGUAAAACUCUGUUGUUAGGGAAGAACAAGUGCUAGUUGAAUAAGCUGGCACCUUGACGGUACCUAACCAGAAAGCCACGGCUAACUACGUGCCAGCCGCCGCCGUAA
rnacentral:rRNA from 1 species